rnacentral:rRNA from 1 species
UAGGGGUAGCAAUGCAUUACCAUGCAAGUCGAACGAUGAAGCCCAGCUUGCUGGGUGGAUUAGUGGCGAACGGGUGAGUAACACGUGAGUAACCUGCCCUUGACUCUGGGAUAAGCGUUGGAAACGACGUCUAAUACCGGAUACGAGCUUCCACCGCAUGGUGAGUUGCUGGAAAGAAUUUUGGUCAAGGAUGGACUCGCGGCCUAUCAGCUUGUUGGUGAGGUAAUGGCUCACCAAGGCGACGACGGGUAGCCGGCCUGAGAGGGUGACCGGCCACACUGGGACUGAGACACGGCCCAGACUCCUACGGGAGGCAGCAGUGGGGAAUAUUGCACAAUGGGCGAAAGCCUGAUGCAGCAACGCCGCGUGAGGGACGACGGCCUUCGGGUUGUAAACCUCUUUUAGCAGGGAAGAAGCGAAAGUGACGGUACCUGCAGAAAAAGCACCGGCUAACUACGUGCCAGCAGCCGCGGUAAUACGUAGGGUGCAAGCGUUGUCCGGAAUUAUUGGGCGUAAAGAGCUCGUAGGCGGUUUGUCGCGUCUGCUGUGAAAUCCCGAGGCUCAACCUCGGGUCUGCAGUGGGUACGGGCAGACUAGAGUGCGGUAGGGGAGAUUGGAAUUCCUGGUGUAGCGGUGGAAUGCGCAGAUAUCAGGAGGAACACCGAUGGCGAAGGCAGAUCUCUGGGCCGCUACUGACGCUGAGGAGCGAAAGGGUGGGGAGCAAACAGGCUUAGAUACCCUGGUAGUCCACCCCGUAAACGUUGGGCGCUAGAUGUGGGGACCAUUCCACGGUUUCCGUGUCGUAGCUAACGCAUUAAGCGCCCCGCCUGGGGAGUACGGCCGCAAGGCUAAAACUCAAAGGAAUUGACGGGGGCCCGCACAAGCGGCGGAGCAUGCGGAUUAAUUCGAUGCAACGCGAAGAACCUUACCAAGGCUUGACAUAUACGAGAACGGGCCAGAAAUGGUCAACUCUUUGGACACUCGUAAACAGGUGGUGCAUGGUUGUCGUCAGCUCGUGUCGUGAGAUGUUGGGUUAAGUCCCGCAACGAGCGCAACCCUCGUUCUAUGUUGCCAGCACGUAAUGGUGGGAACUCAUGGGAUACUGCCGGGGUCAACUCGGAGGAAGGUGGGGACGACGUCAAAUCAUCAUGCCCCUUAUGUCUUGGGCUUCACGCAUGCUACAAUGGCCAGUACAAAGGGCUGCAAUACCGUAAGGUGGAGCGAAUCCCAAAAAGCUGGUCCCAGUUCGGAUUGAGGUCUGCAACUCGACCUCAUGAAGUCGGAGUCGCUAGUAAUCGCAGAUCAGCAACGCUGCGGUGAAUACGUUCCCGGGCCUUGUACACACCGCCCGUCAAGUCAUGAAAGUCGGUAACACCCGAAGCCAGUGGCCUAACCGCAAGGAUGGAGCACGUCUACGUAGUUGUGAAGGC